ensembl:lncRNA
CCUUCACCGUAAUCACCAAUAGAGAGGUGGAUCUUCCUUGGGGGAGGAGCGGCCCAUCUGACCACCGACCCUACAACAUGCCAUAGAAUGCUUGCUCCACAGGGGAGACUGCCUCUGUCAUUCUGCAGGAAAUGCACUCAAAGCUUCAGAAAAAUUAAUAUGACAUUAGCUUCCACCCCAACCUAAGCUACUCACUCCUUCCACGUUAACUGAAGAUGACAGAAGGAAAGAACAAUGUCCGCACAAGCAUGAAAAGCUAAUAAA